UACGUAGGGUGCAAGCGUUGUCCGGAAUUAUUGGGCGUAAAGAGCUCGUAGGCGGUCUGUCGCGUCUGCUGUGAAAAUUCAGGGCUCAACCCUGGACCUGCAGUGGGUACGGGCAGACUAGAGUGCGGUAGGGGAGAUCGGAAUUCCUGGUGUAGCGGUGAAAUGCGCAGAUAUCAGGAGGAACACCGGUGGCGAAGGCGGAUCUCUGGGCCGUAACUGACGCUGAGGAGCGAAAGCGUGGGGAGCAAACAGG
rnacentral:rRNA from 1 species